AAGGAAAAGAAGUUAAAUAAUUCAAAAAGUGCUUUUGGGUACAGCUAUUUAGCAGUAGGGGAUAAGAUUAGAGAUAGAUUGUAAAGAUAAUAGUAGGGUUAGGGUUAGGAUUAGGGUCUGGGUCAGAGUCAGGGCCGGAAGUAUGGUUAGAGGUGGGGUCAUGGUCAGGGUCAAGAUCAGAGUCAGGGUCAAAGUCAGGGUCAGAAUUAGGGACCAGGGUAGGGAUCAGGGUUUAGGGUCAGGGUCAAAGUCUAGAGACAGGAUUGGGGUUAGGAUUAGAACCAGAGAUUUGUUCUCCUCAGGAACCACCAGAGAAGAGGCCAUGGCUUUGGAGCACCUGGUAGUGUGUCCACAGUGAAGACCAGAAUUUCAUUGUCCUCAAGACUGACCUGGGGAGAUGUGGCUGCGGGCCAGUGAGGAAGGGUUGGAGACCUUCAAAUUAACUGACAAUAGAUACAUUAAUAGGAGAGACAAUAUUUGGCUUCUUAUUCCACAAGUAUCAUUGUAGGACAAAAUUCAUCAGAUGGCAGGAUCCAGUUUACAAACAGAUGGCACCAAAAACGAAGGAAGCUCCUGCCCCUCCUAAAGCCGAAGCCAAAGCAAAGGCUUUAAAGGCCAAGAGAGCAGUGUUGAAAUGUAUCCACAGCCCCCCCAAAAAAGAAGAUCUGCACCUUACCCACCUUCCAGCAUCCCCAGACACUGCAACUCUGGAGGCAGCCCAGAUAUCCUGGGAAGAGCGCCCCCCGGAGAAACAAGCUUGACCUCCAUGCUAUCAUCAAGUUUCCACUGAUCACUGAGUCAGCCAUGCAGAAGACAGAAGACAACAACUUGCUUGUGUUCACUGUCGAUGUUAAAGCCAACAAGUACCGGAUCAAACAGACUGUGAAGAAGCUCUGGGACGUGGAUGUGGCCACGGUCAACAUCCUGAUUCGGCCUGAUGGAGAGAAGAAAGCAUAUGUUCAACUGGCUCCUGAUUACGAUGCUUUGGAUGAAGUCAACAAA